rnacentral:rRNA from 1 species
AUGAUGCGCCUCCUCACCGGCUCCAGCUCCUCCUCCUUCCGCUUCCAGCCGCGCUCCGUCGACGCCUUCGGCUCCACCGUCAUCGCCGAGGGCGUCUCGGCCGCCGGCGAGGACACCAAGGCGGCCUACUGGGUGCACGCCUGGACCGUGGGCUCCGAUGGGGUGAUCACCCAGCUGCGCGAGUACUUCAACACCGACCUCACCGUCACGCGCCUCGCCGCCGCCGCCGCGUCCAAGUGCGUCUGGCAGAGCCGCCGCCCCGACCGCGCCCGCAACUCCCUCCCCGGCCUCGUCCUCGCCCUCUAG